rnacentral:sRNA from 1 species
UUUGAAGGGUAAGAGAGGUGACAGAAGAGAGUGAGCACACAUGGUCUUUUCUUGCAUGACUUCUCCAUGCUCGAAGCUAUGCGUGCUCACUCUCUAUCUGUCAUCCACCAACCAUUCUCUCUUCCUCUCUCU